GGUGCUGCACGGCUGUCGUCAGCUCGUGUCGUGAGAUGUUGGGUUAAGUCCCGCAACGAGCGCAACCUCGUGUUUAGUUGCUAACAGUUCGGCUGAGAACUCUAAACAGACUGCCUACGCAAGUAGGAGGAAGGUGAGGACGACGUCAAGUCAUCAUGGCCCUUACGGCCAGGGCUACACACGUGCUACAAUGGGGUAUACAAAGAGCAGCGAUACGGUGACGUGGAGCAAAUCUAGAAAAUGCCUCUCAGUUCGGAUUGUAGUCUGCAACUCGACUACAUGAAGUUGGAAUCGCUAGUAAUCGUAGAUCAGCAAUGCUACGGUGAAUACGUUCCCGGGUCUU
rnacentral:rRNA from 1 species